UACGAAGGGGGCUAGCGUUGCUCGGAAUCACUGGGCGUAAAGGGUGCGUAGGCGGUCUUUAAGUCAGGGGUGAAAUCCUGGAGCUCAACUCCAGAACUGCCUUUGAUACUGAAGAUCUUGAGUUCGGGAGAGGUGAGUGGAACUGCGAGUGUAGAGGUGAAAUUCGUAGAUAUUCGCAAGAACACCAGUGGCGAAGGCGGCUCACUGGCCGAUACUGACGCUGAGGAGCGAAAGCGUGGGGAGCAAACAGG
rnacentral:rRNA from 1 species